AGAGAUCGAAUGGUCAGUUGCUUUAAUUAAAGCAUUUAACAAGAAAUAUAAGGAGUAACGUAAUUCGACGUCACGCACAGGAAUGCCACCUAAUGAUAUUCAUAACUUAACUCUUUUAACAACUUUGGCAUUCAACGAUUUUUAUUCUUGAUAAUAAUCUUAUUUUUGCCUUCUCUAUUAAAUUGAAUAGCUUGCACAUUUACAGACACAGCUGGAGAAGGCUCAGAGCGUGGCCGUCAAAUGGGAAUCACAGUGGACUCACAUACAGAACACAGCGGCCAAGAAAACUCUCCUUUUAGGAAGAAUAAAAAUGGCAACCCAUAACCUGUUUAUGCUCGUAAACAGACACCUGAAACAGAACACAGUCAUAGAACUCACUGAAAAACAGCUGGAAAAGAUUCAAGUGUUCAUCCAAGAUCUGACACAGAUCAUGAAUGAAAUCAGAAGAGCCGAGACAGCUGCCACCAAUGUCACAUCCACCAUGAGCUGAAUAACCAGAAAUUAGUUUAGGAGGACUAUUGUAGAAAGUUGUAAAUAUUGUGUCUAGAUUUAUUCACGCAUACAGCAUGUUAAAAAUGUAUACGUUAAUAAAUUGGCCCGAGAUGGGCGUAAAACGGGCAAGGAAGCCUUUUCAUUGGUGUACUGAGAACAGAUACAGAUCAUCUGCUAUAAAAUUUUACCUCCUUAUCAAACGAUCAAGGGCGCUUAUCAUUUAGCCAGAAAAUCCGGAAAUUUCGGCGGAAAGUCAAAUGGUACAGUAAAUUUCCGUAAAAUCCCUUCGGAAAUUUAGAGACUACCUCCAGAAGUAGACCUUUUUUCGUUCGGAAAUUUCCUUACCAUUUGUUACAUUUUUUCAGUUUCCAGUGUCUCAUCAGCCGAAAACAAUUACAGGAAAUCGAAUUGUAAAUAGUAAGCGCCAUUUCGUUCGGUUGGUUUACUGAUUCUGAUGCCGCGCCGACCUUCAGUUCGGUACUAGUUCACUCCGGUUCCCCUUUGUGGCUCUGUAUUCGUUUUUCAUGUUACCACCACAAAAUUUUAUACCCUGUAAACGCAGUACGACUGUUCGUUCACGCAUGAAAUCACUUUCCCAGGAAUCUGGAACGUGUAGCGCAUGCGUAGUCCUCGACGUCUAAUCCCAGAGGGCGUCACUUUAGUUCAAAAGCGGUGUCCUUAGUUUAAAAGCAGUACGUGGUGUGUGCACAUUGUAUUUGGUAAAGGAGUGGCUUUAAGUGUGCUUUGAACACAGACGUCGAUCUGUUUCCAAGGUAAGCAAUUUUCAUCAUAUAUCAUCUGUAACUUGAAAGGCUCAGCUAAGUAAUCGAAACGUUAAAAUUGUUUUGUGGCUUUGGCAUUUCAAUGAAGUGCUUUAUCUAUGCUACCAGAACGAAAGUCGAUUGAGCGAUGCGGCCUCGGGAGCCUUAAGCCGUAUCACCGGUUUAACUUGUUUUUGCUUUUAUCACAGGUCUGCGUCGAAUGCAGACCUUUCCAUACACGUUGGAGUUUGAGACACUAAUUAGUCGAUGCAAACGAGUAAAUUUAUUACCUUAGUAAUAAUUUGUCCGGUAAACAUGUGGAGGCUCAGGAGGGAUGGGGGCGUCUCUAAGCAAAACAUUGGUUGAGUACUAGAUAUGGGACAUUUCUAGUCCCUAGCGGUCUCCUGCAUUCAAUGCAGAGGUGAUAACCGCUACACCACUAAUACUCGCCCUCGAUAUUCCACACUUCUACUACGCCUGUUAAAAGUCCACUAACACAUGUUUCGCUUCACCGCUUAUAUUCCCUUUUUUUAUGAUAAUUCCAGUCAUCAGCACAGUUCAAGGUCUUUUCAAUUAUGAAUGAUUUGGCUUGCAAACCCAAUUGUGUACGCAGUGUGUAUGGCAAUGUGUAUCGCAGUGUGUUAUCGUGGUAUGCUGUUGUUAUCCUUUACGGAAACAUAAUUUGGACUAGACUUGCCACAAGUUGACCUUUUCUUAAUCCUUGACUUACUUAUCUCCCUCGAGAGAAGCGAGAGAGUAAUCUUGGGGCGACGAAGUCAGGAGGGCAAGCGCGAGCGACCUAGGUCGCGAGAGAUCGAUUUGUUUCACUUGCAGGAAUGUGAAUCAGAGCGUAAACUUUUGGCGCGAAAAAUAUGAUUGACGUUUCUCACUUUUCAUGUGCUCCGCGCGUGAUCGUCACGAAAGCAGAAAAUGAUUUCCAUCAAAACGUUUACGAGUACUGUUCUCUAACUCAAAUGAAUUUAUUUGUGUACACUGCAGUAUGUAGUCAUCAAUAUUGACAAACGGCAAAAGCUGUUCCAUUGAGUAACGCCUCCUGAAAAGUCAAAACCCUGUUUAAACCGAUCGGGAAUUAUUUUAGUCUAGAUUGGUCGCCUAGAUUAGAGAUUAACCAGCGAUAGAUCAGAGAGCUGCCUGAGAAAUGCUAUAAACUUACGUAGAUAUGGCUUGUACCGACAAGAAUCCGAAUUAACUAAAGAAGACGGAAUUAGUCUGGGAGAACUUGAAUUCUGUAAAGCUCUCUUGAUUAAAUAACGUUGAGAAUCGAAGUCACAGCAAUCGGCAGAGAAUAAAAUCGCUGUUCCCAAAAGUCCUUCAUCGAUCGACGAGUGCUUUCAACACGGUAAAACGGCCGAGGCAAAUUUGCUGCGAUGCCCUUUCUUUGUAGAAAAGUAACUUGGUCAUUCAUUAAAUCAACUAAAAGCGCAACAAUUACACAUACUGCAGGAACGGCUCUGUUCUUCUUUCAAAGGUCUAAACUUAAUUCUCUGAAACGAUCGAGAUCACGCAGGAGCUCAGAUCGCGUCCGUAGGUAAACAAACAUGUAUUGGUCGGAUAAAUAGCCUUCCACUGAUUUUCCCUGUCCUUCCUUCAAUGUGACUCUAAAAUUUUGCUCUGCCCCUGUAAUAAAACCCUCUAAUCACAAGGGCUCGAUGAUUUGUACUUUAAAACAACAACAAGAACGACAACAAAAAACCAAACAACCAAAAAAAAAGAAAACAAAAACAAAGACAAACGUAACAAAAAAAUAAAACAAAAAAAAACCAGCGGGAAACCUAAAAGACCACAGAGAAACCAACGAGACAGUUUAAGCACAGGCAACCCAUGCUCACUUUCGGAUAUUCACUUCAUUUGUCAAACUGCUUAGAAAAAUAGCCUUAUCUGUGUAAAUAAACCACACUUGCCU